GACGAACGCUGGCGGCGCGCUUAACACAUGCAAGUCGAGCGAUGAAAUCUUGACAGAACCCUUCGGGGUGAAGAUAAGAUGGAUUAGCGGCGGACGGGUGAGUAACACGUGAGUAACCUGCCUUAGACAUUGGGAUAGCCUCGGGAAACCGGGAUUAAUACCAAAUGAAAUCACAUAUGCACAUGCAUAAAUGAUCAAAGCUCCGGCGGUCUAAGAUGGACUCGCGUCCCAUUAGCUAGUUGGUGAGGUAACGGCCCACCAAGGCGACGAUGGGUAGCCGGCCUGAGAGGGUGAACGGCCACAUUGGAACUGAGAAACGGUCCAAACUCCUACGGGAGGCAGCAGUGGGGAAUAUUGCACAAUGGAGGGAACUCUGAUGCAGCGACGCCGCGUGAACGAAGAAGGCUUUCGAGUCGUAAAGUUCUUUUAUAUGGGAAGAUAAUGACGGUACCAUAAGAAAAAGCCCCGGCUAACUACGUGCCAGCAGCCGCGGUAAUACGUAGGGGGCUGGCGUUGUCCGGAAUCACUGGGCGUAAAGGGUUCGCAGGCGGAAAUGCAAGUCAGGUGUAAAAGGCAGUAGCUUAACUACUGUAAGCAUUUGAAACUGCAUAUCUUGAGAAGAGUAGAGGUAAGUGGAAUUUUUAGUGUAGCGGUGAAAUGCGUAGAUAUUAAAAAGAAUACCGGUGGCGAAGGCGACUUACUGGGCUCAUUCUGACGCUGAGGAACGAAAGCGUGGGUAGCAAACAGG
rnacentral:rRNA from 1 species